AGGCCUAAGGGCUGUUAAACCCGCCAUCCAACUUGCAAUCAGACAUCUUCUUAGGCC
rnacentral:tRNA from 1 species